GCGAAACGGUCCUGUAAGCAGUAGAGUAGCCUUGUUGUUACGAUCUGCUGAGGGUAAGCCGUCCUUCGCCUCGAUUUCCCCAAUGGGUUCUCCGGAUUUCUGGAGACUUGUAGGGGUUGUGGGAUUUUUGAUGUGUCGUCUCCGGACGGGCGGUGCAGGGUAGUCGAGUUAGACUUGGUGGAAUUCCGUCGAUAGGAGUUCCGUCGAGUCUGGUCGGCUGUGUGUUGGACGGUGCAGGGUAGGCUGCUUGGACAUGGUCGGUUCGAGGAUCGAAUCGAGGGCCGGCCCGUCGAUGAUGUGUGAUGUAUGCGGUCUAGGGUAGGCUGGCUUGUCUUGGUUCAAUUUGAUGUCGGCUCCCGUGCAGGCCAGAGUGAGGGGGGUCCAGGGUAGGUACAGGGUAGGCAGCUUAGAUUUGGUCGAUCUGGAGGUCGACUCUCCGGCUGGCGGAUCUGACACUGUCGAAACGAGAUGCGAGCGGUGUAGGGUAGGCUAGUUUCGUCCUCGCCAGGUUGCGAUUUGGACGAGAUAUGUGGUUUAUGGUAUGCUCUAGGGUAAGUAGAAUUUGAGUUUCGUCGCCGACAGUUUUCUGUGGGUGUAUGGUAGGUACAGGGUAGGCAAAUCUCUCUCCGGCCAGUACUUGUCUGGUGGUCGUGAGUCGAUUUUUUCGUUUUGCCAUACUAUUGAAUUUUGCGGAAAUUCAAAAGUGGCUCGGGAGUCCCGCCUGGCGUGCGUCCGACUCGAACAUCGUCGGUGUACAUAUGAGAGGGAGUAAUCCGGCCCGGCCGGGGCCCAUCGCGAGCUGCCGGGUAGGUAAAAGUAAAAAAGUUGUUAAGAGGCGCGGUGUCGGCGUGCUUGUAUUUGCGGGAGAGAAUUAUCUGGGGGUGCUGGGUAGCCGGGAAGACUUGGACGGAUCUGGCCCGGGAAUGGGUCUGGGCCUGGAUUCUGGUGUGGUGUAGGAUAGGCGUAGAUAGAUGAGUGGUCUAGGGUAGAUACAGGGUAGCCAGAAGUCUGGUAUAUAGUAUGGGGGGUGUAGGGUAGGUCUGGACACCGUUUUCCACUUCGCCCUUCCCUUUAGUCGAGGGAGGACGAUCUUGGCUGGGACGGAGGUGUAGGGUAGGCUUAAUUUACGAUUACAUGAUCUGUGUCACUCUAGGGUAGGUGAAAAUCCCAUAUAUAUCUGAUCACAUUUGGUGAAGAGGUGGUUUGGCUGGUGAGAUGGACAAAAGUGCAAUGUAGAAUUAUAUGUGAUUUUGCAAAAGUGGGUGUGAAAUUGGAAAGUCGGUUUUCCCGCACAGAUGAGAGCACGGUUGAGGUGCCAUGAGAUGCACCUCUCCGAGACGACCUCAACGGUACCACCCAUGUGUUGGUCGGGCUCCUGUGCGGCCGUCCAGGGCGGGAUAAGAAGAGAAUGUGGUGGUGUAGGGUAGGUGACCAGGUCCAGGGUAGGUUCGCCAAAUCCGUCAAUCCGGCUUGAAUCGAAGGACAGGUCUAGGGUAGGCCAGAGUCGGGUCUAGGGUAGGCAACCCUCACCCUCGAAGUGGUCUACCCGGUAGCCAACUUCAAUCGCCUCUCACGGCCGCCACGGACCUCGAAUGACGACGGGACUACCACCGUCGGAUUCGCCUUGGUCGAAAUAGCUGGUAUAUGCACUUUUGGAAAAAUGCGUGCAAAAUGGUUUUGUGGUUUGGUGGCCGUGAGUCGAUUUUUUUGUUUUCCCAUACAAAUGAAUUUUGCGGAAAAUAAAAAGUGGCCCACGAGGCAGCCCUGGCGUGCGGCCCACUAAAACGGUCUCGGAGGGUAUAUGAGAAGGGAGCAAAUCCGGCCGAGCCUGAAAGGGUGAGGACAAACCGGGCGAGCAACCUCUCAGUAUCAGAUCUUGCAGACUUCCACUGCGUGUCCCUCUG
rnacentral:misc_RNA from 1 species